rnacentral:rRNA from 1 species
CUGGCGGCGUGCUUAACACAUGCAAGUCGAAGCGAAAGGGACUUCGGUCCUGAGUAAAGUGGCGCACGGGUGAGUAACGCGUAGAUAACCUGUCUUCAUGUCUGGAAUAAUACGCCGAAAGGGGUACUAAUACCGGAUAUUCUUGCUUUUCAUAAGUUAUGCAAGCAAAGGUGGCCUCUGCAUAUGCUACUGCAUGAAGAGGGGUCUGCGUACCAUUAGCUAGUAGGUGGGGUAAUGGCCUACCUAGGCGACGAUGGUUAGCGGGUCUGAGAGGAUGAUCCGCCACACUGGCACUGGAACACGGGCCAGACUCCUACGGGAGGCAGCAGUGAGGAAUAUUGCGCAAUGGGGGAAACCCUGACGCAGCGACGCCGCGUGAAGUGAGGAAGGCCUUCGGGUCGUAAAGCUCUGUCAAGAGGAAAGAAGUGUACAAUGGCUAAUACCUGUUGUAUUUGACGGUACCUCUAAAGGAAGCACCGGCUAACUCCGUGCCAGCCGCAGC